AUCAAAAUAUCUAAUGCUAUUACACCAAAAUAUAUGAAUUAACAUAAAUUAAGAAGAUAAAGCCCCUUUCUUCUAUU
rnacentral:tRNA from 1 species